GUGCUCAUGUCAGCAAUACAUACGCUAAAACUAGAACAAUACAGAGAAGAUUAGCAUGACCCCUGGGCAAGGGUGACACGCAAAUUUGUGAAGUGUUCCCUAUUUUU